GUUGGAUAAUUACCAGCACAUCAUAUACAUGUUUCCAGGAAAAUGUAUACAAUAUGUACGAGGUAUGAGUGAAACCGUUCCAUUCAACAGAUUGCAGUGAUAAAAUUCUGGUGUGAGUGCUAAUGAGACAGUAUCAGAUGAAGAAAAGCAGGAAAACCAUGGUGUCUACCACCAAGGAACUGACAUGAAGGUGAGGUGACAAAAUACACAGAGUAGAUAAAAACAGAAGUGCUGUAAGACUAAAGGUGAGUUAUCACUGGCUUCUAUUAGACUCUAAGUCCUAUGAGGGGAGGGCAUGUAUCUCCUUCAUGGCUCUAUGUGGAACACUGGUAAACAUUUGUGGAAGUGGGCCAAAUUGAACAUGGAACUUGAGCUGGAUUCUCAAGGGUGAAUCACUGAACAGUAAAAGGGGCAGGAAGCAUUUCAGGUAAAACCUGAAGUCUUCAGGUUGCUGGGGAGGGGGAGGCUUAGGCACAGGGAAGGGCACGAUGCAUUUCUCAUUUGACUGUGCUUUUCUUUUCACUCAAAAAAGGACUGUGUGGGGCGCCUGGGUGGCUCAGUCGGUUGGGCGUCUGACUUCGGCUCAGGUCACGAUCUCGCGGUCCGUGAGUUCGAGCCCCGCGUCGGGCUCUGGGCUGAUGGCUCAGAGCCUGGAGCCUGCUUCCGAUUCUGUGUCUCCCUCUCUCUCUGCCCCUCCCCCGUUCAUGCUCUGUCUCUCUCUGUCUCAAAAAUAAACGUUAAAAAAAAAAAAUUUUAAAAAA